UGUAGUUAUUAGUUUGUGAUUUACUGUAAAAUUUCAAGUAUACCUUAUGGAAAUGAAACUGAUUUUCGUGAUCAAUACUAUCUAAACUAGUGUUUGUUGCAUUUCGGAAAAGAAAUAUACUAAACAAACCGAAGACGAAAGCAGUUCCAACAGCUUGGAUGUAUUGCAAAGGAGCCGAAUUGGCUAAUAUUUGAAUUGUAAUUCCAAAGAAGAACUACACUCCAUCAGAUAAUAAAACAUUACACAUCCAAAGUGAAACACAUUUACAUUGACACUUUCUGUUCUUCCGUACAUCCGACGAUGCGUGUUACAUGGAUAGUACAAAUGCCAGACCAUCAACGAGAUUAAUACAUGAAAACAUUUUCCUUUUU